ACACAAAAACCCUUAACACAUACCUCAUUCCCAUCUCAAUCCCAAUCCCAACGCUUUGGGCUCCCCAAUAUAACUUGGGCCUUCCUCACUUGGCCCAAUACAAAUCUAGAAACCCCGAUUUUAAUCCCAGACACAUGUGGCAUCAAGGAUAAUACUAAUCGGAGCAAUGGCACCAUCUACUGUUACGCUUAUUCCGCCACGAUUCACACUCUUCACGUAUCCUAGAAACAACGCUUCUAGAAUCUUCCAUUUCCGUUCUCCUCUCAGGCGUUCUAUCUCCGCCAUGACAACGCAGCAAGGAUCCUCUUCUACCAAAACGGAGAGAGUGGUGAUAAAGGGAAGGGUGCAGGGAGUGUUUUACCGGAACUGGACGAUUGAAAAUGCGACGCAGUUAGGGUUGAAGGGGUGGGUGCGCAACCGGAAGGACGGUUCCGUGGAGGCUCUGUUCUCUGGGAAUGUUGAUGCGGUGCAGGAGAUGGAGCAGCGGUGUCGACGUGGCCCUCCCGAUGCGCUUGUCACGGGGCUUCAGGUUUUUCCCUCCGAUGAUGAUCCUGGUACUGGAUUUAACCGCAAACCAACGCUUUGAUCUUCUAUCCUUCGAUCAGUUCCGUAAUUUCACUCGUACGUACCUGCCACCGACCUAGAGCUAGACAUCGUGGGACAUGAAAAAAGAUAACAAGAGGGAAGAUAUUUUUUGGUGGUACCGGUUUGUUGGAAGUUUGACGGUUAUUGUGUGGGUUGCUGGUGGUGUCAUUUAGUUUUGCAUAGGUAUGACUUCUUUCCGUUUUUCAAAUACCUUAGAGUUGCUUGAUGUGAAAUUAGGAAAAACCAUCUUUCCCUGAAUCUUUUACAAAUAUGUCAGCACAAAAUCGUAAAUUUGUCUAAGAUCCUUAAUAAUACAUGUAAUAUUUCUUUGUUUCAAUUA